ACUCCCGGUCGCAGGCGAAAAGACACGGAUGCAACCUGAGUCCUAGGAUUCCGGGGACCAGAGGGCAGCGCCGGCGGCCAAGAUCGUGAGGUGCCAGAGACGCAUUUGAGAAGUGAUCCCAUGAAGUCCAUGAGGGUGGGGAACCACCUACCAGAGAGGAGCGGGCGAGGAAUGCUGCCCUAUUAUGGUGGACCAUAGAAGACUUCACCAGACGUUGGUGUCAUGCUUUUAGACUUCCAGCCUCCAGAACCAGGAGCCAAAUAACCUUCUGCUAUUUAUAAGUUACCCAGUUUGUGAUGUUGUUUUUCUCUCUUGUUUGGAUUUUGAGACAGGGUCUCACUCUGUACUUCAGGCUGGCCUCAAACUGCUUGGGAUUACAGGCCUGGCUUGGCAUUCUUUUUAUAGCGGCAGAAAAUGGACAGAAGGAAAAUGAAGGUGGCUUUGUGACACAUCUGUAAGCCCAGCACAGAAUGAUUGUGAGUUUGAGGCCAGCCUGGGCAAGUUCAAGGCCAGCGUGGACUAAAUAGUGAGA
rnacentral:lncRNA from 1 species